rnacentral:lncRNA from 1 species
GAGGAGGUGAGGUAGGGGCAGGGGCAGGGGCAGGGGCAGGGGCAGGGGGAGGGGGAGUGAGGGGCUGUGAGGGGCACUGUGAGGAGCUGUGAGGCAGCUCCCCGCCGCCCGGAAAGUCUGGUUUUGUUCUUCUUAUUAUUUUUUUUUAAGUAACAAGCCUUUUGGUGGCACGGAGCAUGGCCGCGGCUGGCAGGAGGCGGCUGCAGCGCUGUCUCCUUCCCUUGCGAUGCGCCUCAAAGGCGGGGGCCGGGCGGGAUCUGGCUUUGAAGUAUACAAGCCGUGGCUAUGCAUCACAGCGUACUUUAAAUGUAAGUAUAAAGUACCAUCUGAGCACAGUAAAUCCCUGCUAUAUUUGCUUCUUAACCUCUGAAGUUCAGAAAGUUAUCACAAGAAACCUGCGUUGUUGACAGCGUGUCUCUUGCCCAAGUCACGUUACUGCAAAAAUUGGAAUAAAGGUCAAAUUUCCCAAUUUUUUUUUGCUUUG